rnacentral:rRNA from 1 species
CGCAUCCUACGGGGGGCAGCAGUGGGGAAUAUUGCGCAAUGGGCGAAAGCCUGACGCAGCGACGCCGCGUGAGGGAGGAAGGUCUUCGGAUCGUAAACCUCUGUCAGCAGGGAAGAACGGUCACUGUGCUAAUCAGCAGUGAAUUGACGGUACCUGCAAAGGAAGCACCGGCUAACUCCGUGCCAGCAGCCGCGGUAAUACGGAGGGUGCGAGCGUUAAUCGGAAUUACUGGGCGGAAAGCGCUCGUAGGCGGGAUGUCAAGUCAAGGGUGAAAUCCCCGCGCUCAACGGGGGUACUGCCUUUGA